rnacentral:SRP_RNA from 1 species
ACCGGGCUUGAUAACGCAUGCCUGUAACUCAAGUGAGGGUAUCAAAGAUGGUUGGUCAGUCACUCGGUCCAGUCAGGUUGGCUCCAUUGGCGCACAAGCUGGCUUGCCCGUUCCAAGUUGUGAGUUGGACUACUGCGUAAGGCUGGCUUCACAGAGCUGCGAAAACCCCUUGCUCAUGACAGUGGAAGGAUAACGAGCCAGGGCUCUAUGGCUUGUAACGCCCUGUGUUUUGUACUUUCUAUUUA